GACGAACGCUGGCGGCGUGCCUAAUACAUGCAAGUUGAGCGCUGAAGGUUGGUACUUGUACCAACUGGAUGAGCAGCGAACGGGUGAGUAACGCGUGGGGAAUCUGCCUUUGAGCGGGGGACAACAUUUGGAAACGAAUGCUAAUACCGCAUAAAAACUUUAAACACAAGUUUUAAGUUUGUAAGAUGCAAUUGCAUCACUCAAAGAUGAUCCCGCGUUGUAUUAGCUAGUUGGUGAGGUAAAGGCUCACCAAGGCGAUGAUACAUAGCCGACCUGAGAGGGUGAUCGGCCACAUUGGGACUGAGACACGGCCCAAACUCCUACGGGAGGCAGCAGUAGGGAAUCUUCGGCAAUGGACGAAAGUCUGACCGAGCAACGCCGCGUGAGUGAAGAAGGGUUUCGGAUCGUAAAACUCUGUUGGUAGAGAAGAACGUUGGUGAGAGUGGAAAGCUCAUCAAGUGACGGUAACUACCCAGAAAGGGACGGCUAACUACGUG
rnacentral:rRNA from 1 species